GCCGGAGUAGCUCAGGGGUAGAGCACACCAUUCGUAAUGGCGAGGUCGUCGGUUCAAUUCCGACCUUCGGCU
rnacentral:tRNA from 1 species